rnacentral:rRNA from 1 species
UACGUAGGGGGCUAGCGUUGUCCGGAAUCAUUGGGCGUAAAGCGCGUGUAGGCGGCCCGGUAAGUCCGCUGUGAAAGUCGGGGGCUCAACCCUCGGAUGCCGGUGGAUACUGUCGGGCUCGAGUACGGAAGAGGCGAGUGGAAUUCCUGGUGUAGCGGUGAAAUGCGCAGAUAUCAGGAAGAACACCCGUGGCGAAAGCGGCUCUCUGGAACGGUACUGACGCUGAGACGGCGAAAGCGUGGGGAGCGAACAGG